UUGACCGUUGAAGGAAAAGAUAAAAAGCAUUCUUCAGCUACAAAAGAUAAUUGAUUAUCACUGUUCCUCUCCCAUCUCAUUCUCACUGAAAUUUUAUUUUUGUUAUUCUGUUUGAAAAUUGAUAAGAAGCGUCUUAGAAUCUUUGUGCGAAACAGGCCUGUCUGGUCCCUAAACCAAAUUUUGUAGAAAACUUUCAAAGAAACAGGCCUGAUUUUAGUCUGGGCCUCCGUCCACAAACACAACGGCCACAUGAAGGUGGAGGUGUAGAGAAGUUUUGCGCGAAGGUAAUGAUGAAACGAUUAGCGUAUUAGUUUUGUAGGUUUAGUUUUAUGCUUAA